GGUGAGUGGAACUAAACUAAAUAUUUUAUCUUGAGAAAUGACACGAUUCUAGCAUGAUCCAUGCAUCAUACACUGCCAUGUUAUGUCUUAGGUUGUGUUGCAUUAGAAUUCACGAAUAUGAUGCAUUGCAUAUGUUGUUGUUCCUGUGGAUGAAUGUUGGAUGAUCCUUAGCCCUUGACAGAGAGCAGAUACAGAGUUAUGGCAUGAGAUAGCCAUACCAGGUCGCCCCUGGAUAGUCCAGGUCGCUCCUGGUACUAUGAGUGAGACAGCUGGGCUGUCAAAUCAGAGUUAAGUGUAGACCAGGUGAGACCUCGUCUCCUUGGCACAGUUAGUCAUGUUAUGAUAUCAGAGAGAUAAGUGUAGACCAGGUGAUGAC
rnacentral:lncRNA from 1 species